rnacentral:rRNA from 1 species
GGCGUUAAGUUGCAGGGUAUAGACCCGAAACCCGGUGAUCUAGCCAUGGGCAGGUUGAAGGUUGGGUAACACUAACUGGAGGACCGAACCGACUAAUGUUGAAAAAUUAGCGGAUGACCUGUGGCUGGGGGUGAAAGGCCAAUCAAACCGGGAGAUAGCUGGUUCUCCCCGAAAGCUAUUUAGGUAGCGCCUCGUGAAUUCAUCUCCGGGGGUAGAGCACUGUUUCGGCUAGGGGGCCAUCCCGGCUUACCAACCCGAUGCAAACUGCGAAUACCGGAGAAUGUUAUCACGGGAGACACACGGCGGGUGCUAACGUCCGUCGUGAAGAGGGAAACAACCCAGACCGCCAGCUAAGGUCCCAAAGUCAUGGUUAAGUGGGAAACGAUGUGGGAAGGCCCAGACAGCCAGGAUGUUGGCUUAGAAGCAGCCAUCAUUUAAAGAAAGCGUAAUAGCUCACUGGUCGAGUCGGCCUGCGCGGAAGAUGUAACGGGGCUAAACCAUGCACCGAAGCUGCGGCAGCGACGCUUAUGCGUUGUUGGGUAGGGGAGCGUUCUGUAAGCCUGUGAAGGUGUGUCGUGAGGCAUGCUGGAGGUAUCAGAAGUGCGAAUGCUGACAUAAGUAACGAUAAAGCGGGUGAAAAGCCCGCUCGCCGGAAGACCAAGGGUUCCUGUCCAACGUUAAUCGGGGCAGGGUGAGUCGACCCCUAAGGCGAGGCCGAAAGGCGUAGUCGAUGGGAAACGGGUUAAUAUUCCCGUACUUGGUGUUACUGCGAAGGGGGGACGGAGAAGGCUAUGUUGGCCGGGCGACGGUUGUCCCGGUUUAAGCGUGUAGGUGUGUGUUCCAGGUAAAUCCGGUUCACUUUAACACUGAGGCGUGAUGACGAGGCACUACGGUGCUGAAGUAACAAAUGCCCUGCUUCCAGGAAAAGCCUCUAAGCAUCAGGUAACAUCAAAUCGUACCCCAAACCGACACAGGUGGUCAGGUAGAGAAUACCAAGGCGCUUGAGAGAACUCGGGUGAAGGAACUAGGCAAAAUGGUGCCGUAACUUCGGGAGAAGGCACGCUGACACGUAGGUGAAGUGAUUUACUCACGGAGCUGAAGUCAGUCGAAGAUACCAGCUGGCUGCAACUGUUUAUUAAAAACACAGCACUGUGCAAACACGAAAGUGGACGUAUACGGUGUGACGCCUGCCCGGUGCCGGAAGGUUAAUUGAUGGGGUCAGCGCAAGCGAAGCUCCUGAUCGAAGCCCCGGUAAACGGCGGCCGUAACUAUAACGGUCCUAAGGUAGCGAAAUUCCUUGUCGGGUAAGUUCCGACCUGCACGAAUGGCGUAAUGAUGGCCAGGCUGUCUCCACCCGAGACUCAGUGAAAUUGAACUCGCUGUGAAGAUGCAGUGUACCCGCGGCAAGACGGAAAGACCCCGUGAACCUUUACUAUAGCUUGACACUGAACAUUGAGCCUUGAUGUGUAGGAUAGGUGGGAGGCUUUGAAGUGUGGACGCCAGUCUGCAUGGAGCCGACCUUGAAAUACCACCCUUUAAUGUUUGAUGUUCUAACGUGGACCCGUUACCCGGGUUGCGGACAGUGUCUGGUGGGUAGUUUGACUGGGGCGGUCUCCUCCUAAAGAGUAACGGAGGAGCACGAAGGUUGGCUAAUCCUGGUCGGACAUCAGGAGGUUAGUGCAAUGGCAUAAGCCAGCUUGACUGCGAGCGUGACGGCGCGAGCAGGUGCGAAAGCAGGUCAUAGUGAUCCGGUGGUUCUGAAUGGAAGGGCCAUCGCUCAACGGAUAAAAGGUACUCCGGGGAUAACAGGCUGAUACCGCCCAAGAGUUCAUAUCGACGGCGGUGUUUGGCACCUCGAUGUCGGCUCAUCACAUCCUGGGGCUGAAGUAGGUCCCAAGGGUAUGGCUGUUCGCCAUUUAAAGUGGUACGCGAGCUGGGUUUAGAACGUCGUGAGACAGUUCGGUCCCUAUCUGCCGUGGGCGCUGGAGAACUGAGGGGGGCUGCUCCUAGUACGAGAGGACCGGAGUGGACGCAUCACUGGUGUUCGGGUUGUCAUGCCAAUGGCACUGCCCGGUAGCUAAAUGCGGAAGAGAUAAGUGCUGAAAGCAUCUAAGCACGAAACUUGCCCCGAGAUGAGUUCUCCCUGAGACUUUAGGUCUCCUGAAGGAACGUUGAAGACGACGACGUUGAUAGGCCGGGUGUGUAAGCGCAGCGAUGCGUUGAGCUAACCGGUACUAAUGAACCGUGAGGCUUAACCUU